rnacentral:rRNA from 1 species
AUUGAACGCUGGCGGCAGGCCUAACACAUGCAAGUCGAGCGAGCGGCGGACGGGUGAGUAAUGUAUGGGGACUGCCCGAUAGAGGGGGAUAACUACUGGAAACGGUGGCUAAUACCGCAUACUAUCGGAUAACCCAUAUGGGAUUAGCUAGUCGGUGGGGUAAAGGCUCACCUAGGCGACGAUCUCUAGAUGGUCUGAGAGGAUGAUCAGCCACACUGGGACUGCGAGACGGCGCAGAAUGCUACGGAGGCAGCGGAGGGGGAAAUGGCACAAUGGGCGCAAGCCUGAGAGAGCCAUGCCGGGGGUAUGAAGAAGGCGUUAGGGUUGUAAGGUACUUUAAGCGGGGAGGCGUUACCCGCAGAAGAAGCACCGGCUAACUCCGUGCCAGCAGCCGCGGUAAUAC